GGCAACCGAUUGCUUUACCACCUCCCUUUUUGCCACCACAGUCUUUGAUUUUCCAGCUGAGUCUCCUCUGAAAAGAAACCACCUCCUUCUCCUUUGCUUACGAGGUUCCAAAAUUUCCCAAGGAUGAGACGGUCACAUCAACAUCCCUGCUCUGGUCCAGCAAUAGAGACAAGUAAGAGAUGUUCAACACCUCCUGGGAACCCCUCCGAAAGGCCCCCAGAUGUGGAAGUGCCACAGGUCAACUGGUCCUCAGUAUAUUCGCCUGGCAUCCCUUGGGAAGAGAGCCGCGCAGACACCAACACAUCCGUACCCACCCAAAGGAUCUCCUAUUGCUGGAAGAACAGCUGCAAUUUCGGCUGCCUGAUCCUGGCUGCAGGAUGGGGAGGAACCACCUGGUUGACAAAGUUCCCGUUUAUCUCCUGUUAAAAUGAUGCUUGGCUCAUGGCUGUUCACCAGUUGUGCUGAUACAGAAGUUCUGGAUGCUCUUGGGUUCCUGCCUGAGCCCAGGCAGAUACACUCUGUGCUUUCUGCAUUUACAGCCUUUGCUCCUUUUCCAAGUCUUAAAUAAAGUAGUUACUCUCGGCUGUGAUCUUUUUAAUGGCUUUGAAUGCUUUGCAAGUCUUCCAUUAGAAAAUGAUCGGCUGUUGCAAUCUGCUUUAUUGCAGAAAGAUGCACUGAAGGCAUGAGGAAAUAUGAGGAAAUAUUCGUUGCAUGCAGUUUGCUCACGCUAAGCCAUAAGGAGUGGGGCAAAAUAAUUCAUUGGUAUUUCUGGCAGGCUGAGCUCUAUUGCUGCCAGGCAGUUGGUUUAACCUGAAAAAGGGGCAGGAUGGAUUAAAUGCAGAGCAGAUUACAUCAGAUUCACACUGCAGUAAGGAGAGAGAGAGAGAGAGAAUGGGAUCUUUUUAUCUUGGCUUGAUCUCGCCUAGAAAUAAAGGGGUGCUUUAGAAGACUCUGAGUGACCAAGCAUGGAGAUUCCACUGAGCCAUGUGGGGUUGUACAGCGUUUAGCCAAUGAUGCAGAGAAUUUGGGGAGGAUUUGUGCAAUUUUGAGUCGAUAGCACUUCUGAUUCUGGUGGAUGUGGUCUCAGGUUGGUGGGAUGGAGCACCACACCAGCUUGCAGGGAUGUAUUUUUCUUUGGGCAUCUCCUGACAUGUCAAAUGUGGGGCUUUCCUACACUUCGUGUCUGUUUUUCUUCUCGACUUUCUCAACAAAGAUAUCUCUAAGGUCUGAUCUCCUUCCCAUGUCAGAUUGCCAAAAAUCAAAGUGAAUUGCUGCAGUCUGUGUCCAUUGGGUGAUUCCCACUCCACGUGGGAGACGGAGCUCAGCCCUCACUGUGAUGGGCUCCCAGCUCUGCAGGACUUGUGGC
rnacentral:lncRNA from 1 species